rnacentral:rRNA from 1 species
GACGAACGCUGGCGGCGUGCUUAACACAUGCAAGUCGAACGGAAAGGCCCUGCUUUUGUGGGGUGCUCGAGUGGCGAACGGGUGAGUAACACGUGAGUAACCUGCCCUUGACUUUGGGAUAACUUCAGGAAACUGGGGCUAAUACCGGAUAGGAGCUCCUGCUGCAUGGUGGGGGUUGGAAAGUUUCGGCGGUUGGGGACGGACUCGCGGCUUAUCAGCUUGUUGGUGGGGUAGUGGCUUACCAAGGCUUUGACGGGUAGCCGGCCUGAGAGGGUGACCGGCCACAUUGGGACUGAGAUACGGCCCAGACUCCUACGGGAGGCAGCAGUGGGGAAUAUUGCACAAUGGGCGGAAGCCUGAUGCAGCAACGCCGCGUGCGGGAUGACGGCCUUCGGGUUGUAAACCGCUUUCGCCUGUGACGAAGCGUGAGUGACGGUAAUGGGUAAAGAAGCACCGGCUAUCUACGUG